AGAGCGAACGCUGGCGGCAGGCCUAACACAUGCAAGUCGAGCGGGCAUCGCAAGAUGUCAGCGGCAGACGGGAGAGUAACACGUGGGAACAUGCCCUUCGGUUCGGAAUAACUCAGGGAAACUUGAGCUAAUACCGGAUACGUCCGUAAGGAGAAAGAUUUAUCGCCGAAGGAUUGGCCCGCGUCCGAUUAGCUAGUUGGUGAGGUAAUGGCUCACCAAGGCGACGAUCGGUAGCUGGUCUGAGAGGAUGAUCAGCCUCACUGGGACUGAGACACGGCCCAGACUCCUACGGGAGGCAGCAGUGGGGAAUAUUGGACAAUGGGCGCAAGCCUGAUCCAGCCAUGCCGCGUGGGUGAUGAAGGCCCUAGGGUUGUAAAGCCCUUUCGGCGGGGAAGAUAAUGACGGUACCCGCAGAGAAGCCCGGCUAACUUCGUGCCAGCAGCCGC
rnacentral:rRNA from 1 species